UGCAAGCGUUAAUCGGAUUUACUGGGCGUAAAGCGCGCGUAGGUGGCCAAUUAAGUCAAAUGUGAAAUCCCCGAGCUUAACUUGGGAAUUGCAUUCGAUACUGGUUGGCUAGAGUAUGGGAGAGGAUGGUAGAAUUCCAGGUGUAGCGGUGAAAUGCGUAGAGAUCUGGAGGAAUACCGAUGGCGAAGGCAGCCAUCUGGCCUAAUACUGACACUGAGGUGCGAAAGCAUGGGGAGCAAACAGGAUUAGAUACCCUGGUAGUCCAUGCCGUAAACGAUGUCUACUAGCCGUUGGGGCCUUUGAGGCUUUAGUGGCGCAGCUAACGCGAUAAGUAGACCGCCUGGGGAGUACGGUCGCAAGACUAAAACUCAAAUGAAUUGACGGGGGCCCGCACAAGCGGUGGAGCAUGUGGUUUAAUUCGAUG
rnacentral:rRNA from 1 species